rnacentral:rRNA from 1 species
AGAGUUUGAUUCUGGCUCAGAACGAACGCUGGCAGCGUGGAUUAGGCAUGCAAGUCGAACGUGAUCCGGAAUGUAGCAAUACAGUACGGUGAAAGUGGCGCAAGGGUGAGUAACGCGUGGGUAAUCUACCUCUAAGUUGGGGAUAACCUUCCGAAAGGAGGGCUAACACCGAAUGUGGUCACUCCGCAUAUGCGGGGAGGAUCAAAGACGGGGAUCUUUCGGGACCUGUCGCUUGGAGAGGAGCCUGCGUGCCAUCAGCUAGUUGGUAGGGUAAUGGCCUACCAAGGCUUACGGCUAGCUGGUCUGAGAGGAUGACCAGCCACACUGGGACUGAGACACUGCCCAGACUCCUACGGGAGGCUGCAGUCGAGGAUCUUGGACAAUGCGCGAAAGCGUGAUCCAGCGACGCUGCGUGGAGGAUGAAGGCCUUCGGGUUGUAAACUCCUGUCAUUCGGGAAAAACGACUUCGGGAUUAAUACUUCCGGAGAGUGAUGGUACCGAAAGAGGAAGCCACGGCUAACUCUGUGCCAGCAGCCGCGGUAAUACAGAGGUGGCGAGCGUUGUUCGGAUUUACUGGGCGUAAAGGGUGCGUAGGUGGUCGCCUAUGUCGGAUGUGAAAUCCCACGGCUUAACCGUGGAACGGCAUUCGAAACUGGGUGACUUGAGUGCAGGAGGGGAGAGCGGAAUUCUUGGUGUAGCGGUGAAAUGCGUUGAUAUCAAGAAGAACACCGGUGGCGAAGGCGGCUCUCUGGAAUGCUACUGACACUGAGGCACGAAAGCUGAGGGAGCAAACAGGAUUAGAUACCCUGGUAGUCCCAGCUGUAAACGGUGUGCGCUUGGUGUGGGGAGAUUUGACCCUCCCCGUGCCGGAGCUAACGCGUUAAGCGCACCGCCUGGGGAGUACGGUCGCAAGGCUAAAACUCAAAGAAAUUGACGGGGGCCCGCACAAGCGGAGGAGCAUGUGGCUUAAUUCGAUGCAACGCGAAGAACCUUACCAGGGCUUGACAUGCAGCUGCACGUCCGUCGAAAGGCGGAUUCCUUCGAGGGUGCUGCACAGGUGCUGCAUGGCUGUCGUCAGUUCGUGCCGUGAGGUGUUGGGUUAAGUCCCGCAACGAACGCAACCCCUGUGUUUAGUUGCCACCGCCGCAAGGCGAGCACUCUAAACAGACUGCCUGUACAAAACAGGAGGAAGGUGGGGACGACGUCAAGUCAGUAUGGCCCUUAUGCCCUGGGCUGCACACGUGCUACGAUGGCCGGUACAGAGGGAAGCAAGACCGCAAGGUGGAGCAAAUCCUGAAAACCGGUCCCAGUUCGGAUUGAAGGCUGAAACUCGCCUUCAUGAAGUUGGAUUCGCUAGUAACGGCGUAUCAGCUACGACGCCGUGAAUACGUUCCCGGGCCUUGUACACACCGCCCGUCACAUCAUGAAAGCCAUCUGCACCCAAACACGCCAAGCUAACCCGCAAGGGAGGCAGGUGUCUAAGGUGUGGGUGGUGAUUGGGAUGAAGUCGAAACAAGGUA